CAUGCCUGCUUUGGCAGCAUAAAAUUUUAAUAUUUGAAUGAUACAGAGAUUAGUUUGGCCUCUGUGCAAGGAUGACAAACAAAUUUGUGAAACAUUUCAUAUUUUU
rnacentral:snRNA from 1 species